UGAAAUGUAGCUCAAUGGUAGAGCGAAACACUUAGCCUGUUUUGGUUCGGGUUCGAUUCCCGAGAUUUCAC
rnacentral:tRNA from 1 species